GAUGAAGAACGUAGCGAAAUGCGAUAAGUAGUGUGAAUUGCAGAAUUCCGUGAAUCAUCGAAUCUUUGAACGCACAUUGCGCCUUCUGGUAUUCCGGAAGGCAUGCCUGUUCGAGAGUCAUUAACAACCGUUUCGAUCCCUUUCUUUCAGAAAUUACAAAGAGGAAAAGGGUUUGGUUAUGGUGGAGGAGGGAAAGGGAGCGUUUAGCCUGUAAAAAAAGAGGCUGUGUUCCGCCUCCCCCCCAAAAUUGUACAGGCGGUCGUGUGCGCCCACGCAUCGAGGUGUUGUAAAAGCUGCCACGGCACUUUUCACCUGUGCAGUGCGAGAUUGGCCAGCCGGUUUAAAAACCCCUCCAAACAAUCAUAGGUUGACCUCGGAUCAGGUAGGGAUACCCGCUGAACUUAAGCAUAUCAAUAAGCGGAGGA
rnacentral:misc_RNA from 1 species